rnacentral:rRNA from 1 species
CCCUUAGAUGUCCUGGGCUGCACGCGCGCUACACUGAUGUGUCCAGUAAGCACCUAACCUCUUCCGAAAGGAACGGGUAACCUUUGCAAAGCACAUCGUGAUGUGGAUAGAUUAUUGCAAUUAUUAGUCUUGAACGAGGAAUUCCUAGUAAGCACAAGUCAUCAGCUUGUGUUGAUUACGUCCCUGCCCUUUGUACACACCGCCCGUCGCUCCUACCGAUUGAAUGUUCCGGUGAGCUCUUCGGACUGCGCGGUCUGCAGUUUCUGCGUUCCGUGCGGAAAGUUGCGCAAACCUUAACAUUUAGAGGAAGGAGAAGUCGUAACA